UGCUGGUCCUUUUACAACGAUAUUUUGCCAACCCCGCCAGGUCUGGAAAGAAGCAACGGUAACAAAAGAUUCGGGUGAAAAGUAAACUAGCAAGA
rnacentral:SRP_RNA from 2 species